rnacentral:SRP_RNA from 1 species
ACUGGACAUGGUGGUGAAGCCCUUUAAUCCCAGUUAAAGUGGAGGCUGAAUCUUAUGGAUUUCUUGAGCUUGUGAGUUCUCAGAAGCAGGAAGCUAAGCCAAAUGGGUGUCUGCACUAAGUCCAGCAUUAAUAUGGUGAUUCUUGAAAGCAAGGUUUCUUAAGGAGAGGUGAACUGGCUCAACUUAGAAGCAGAGCAGGUCAAAGCUCCCAUGCCAGUCAGUACUGGGAUUGGGCCUAUGAGUAAUCCUUUUGCACUCUAAGCCUGGACAAGAUGUGGAGACCAAAUCUUA